rnacentral:rRNA from 1 species
GAGGAAUAUUGGUCAAUGGACGAGAGUCUGAACCAGCCAAGUAGCGUGAAGGAUGAAGGUUCUAUGGAUUGUAAACUUCUUUUAUACGGGAAUAAACGAAUCCACGCGUGGAUUUUUGCAUGUACCGUAUGAAUAAGGAUCGGCUAACUCCGUGCCAGCAGCCGCGGUAAUACGGAGGAUCCGAGCGUUAUCCGGAUUUAUUGGGUUUAAAGGGAGCGUAGAUGGGUUGUUAAGUCAGUUGUGAAAGUUUGCGGCUCAACCGUAAAAUUGCAAUUGAUACUGGCAGUCUUGAGUACAGUUGAGGUAGGCGGAAUUCGUGGUGUAGCGGUGAAAUGCUUAGAUAUCACGAAGAACUCCGAUUGCGAAGGCAGCUUACUAACCUGUAACUGACAUUGAUGCUCGAAAGUGUGGGUAUCAAACAGGAUUAGAUACCCUGGUAGUCCACACAGUAAACGAUGAAUACUCGCUGUUUGCGAUAUACAGUAAGCGGCCAAGCGAAAGCGUUAAGUAUUCCACCUGGGGAGUACGCCGGCAACGGUGAAACUCAAAGGAAUUGACGGGGGCCCGCACAAGCGGAGGAACAUGUGGUUUAAUUCGAUGAUACGCGAGGAACCUUACCCGGGCUUGAAUUGCAACUGAAUGAUGUGGAGACAUGUCAGCCGCAAGGCAGUUGUGAAGGUGCUGCAUGGUUGUCGUCAGCUCGUGCCGUGAGGUGUCGGCUUAAGUGCCAUAACGAGCGCAACCCUUAUCGAUAGUUACCAUCAGGUUAUGCUGGGGACUCUGUCGAGACUGCCGUCGUAAGAUGUGAGGAAGGUGGGGAUGACGUCAAAUCAGCACGGCCCUUACGUCCGGGGCUACACACGUGUUACAAUGGGGGGUACAGAAGGCAGCUACACGGCGACGUGAUGCUAAUCCCGAAAGCCUCUCUCAGUUCGGAUUGGAGUCUGCAACCCGACUCCAUGAAGCUGGAUUCGCUAGUAAUCGCGCAUCAGCCACGGCGCGGUGAAUACGUUCCCG